CUGCGGUGAGGUUCAGCCAGUCAAUCGCGCACACACACACUAGCUGAAUAUGCAGAGCUAGCGCGCAAAUAUUAACUAUUAAGCUAGCUAGUACCUAUUCCAUUUAUGUGGCGUCGUCAAAGAUGGAAUCUUUGCUAUCGUCAAUGUAUUCCAAGAUCAGCAUGAAGAUGAUGAUGCAGAGCAGGCAACAGAUGGCACACAGACAGCAGAGUUGGGGACAGAUAUGCAGGGACAGACUGGCAGAGACGGAGUCUCAGUACCUGGUUGACCAGGAGGGUUACGGCCCAGAGAAGAGGUGCUGGGUUCCCGCUAGAGACAUCCUGGACCUGCUUCCCAUCGCCAACUUUCACCGCUGACAUCCCAGUCAGCCAGGUGUCUGACCUCUCGCCUGCCUAUUGCCUGGUACUGUUUGGACUCUGACCUGGUUUAUGAACUCUCGCCUGACCUGCCUUUUGCUUUCCCCUUUUGGUAUAAUAAAUAUCAGAGCAUAACCAUCUGACUCCUGUGUCUGCAUUUGGGUCUCUCCUUGUGCCCAUAUACUGUUUUUUAGAUAAGUGAAACCCAAUCUUUCAUGAAUAAGUUAAUCUAAAUCCUUUUGUUUUGCAUAUAGAUUAUUCAAUGCUUCUUUAGUACAUUUAUCAACAUGAUGUGUAAUGUUAGAUUUUCUGUUGUAAGUCUUUUCUCUGUUGACCGAUAUUUUUGUAUUUGAGAUGAAAAUUGUAUUGAAUGGCCUUUAAAAAGGUACAUAUAGGCAUCCCAUACGAUAAUUGGGUCUGCUGAACAUGUAUUGUGCAAGAAUUUCUAUGAAUUCCUUCGUUUUUGUUAAGAAAGAACUGUCAUUCAAUAAACCCUGGUUCAAUUUACAAUAUCCCUGUCCUUGUGGAAA
rnacentral:lncRNA from 1 species